rnacentral:rRNA from 1 species
UACGGGGGGGGCAAGCGUUGUUCGGAAUUACUGGGCGUAAAGGGCUCGUAGGUGGCCAACUAAGUCAGACGUGAAAUCCCCCGGCUUAACCGGGGAACUGCGUCUGAUACUGGAUGGCUUGAGUUCGGGAGAGGGAUGCGGAAUUCCAGGUGUAGCGGUGAAAUGCGCAGAUAUCAGGAGGAACACCGGUGGCGAAGGCGGGUCUCUGGGCAGUAACUGACGCUGAGGAGCGAAAGCGUGGGGAGCGAACAGG